UACGCGGUCACACUGAAGCAAAGGCACAUUUAAAAAAUGUAAAUAUAGAAAUAGUUAAGAUAAGCAUUUUAAUCAUUUAAAACCUUAGUAAAUAGUCAUGGCUGAAGCCGCAGCAUGUUUAUUGCUGUACAAAUACAAGGCGGUAUGUACUAAGCAGACUGGUACAAUUUUUAGCACUCCAUGUGGCGUCUGUUGCAUCGUUUGGAUGAUCAGAUCAACACAGAUAUUCAUAGAUGGCGAGAUAAGGGACCAUGAUGUCCUAGACGAGGAUGAACAGUCACUCAUUGAUCACUCGCGACACGCAGAGAAAUCAGUUCGUACUGCUGCUAGCUUUGACUUCAUCUAGCAUCGGAAGCUGAACCGCCAUAUGAUCCUCUACUGCACUGUGCUUGCCUCGGCCAAGAAAGACAGUGAAAGCCAGCGGAAACGCAAAAGAUGAGGGAAUAAGGCACUCGCAAGUAUCCCGCAGUAGCGGGAAUGGGUAAGUCUAUUGCUAGCCAGCACGCGGGUUCAGCGAUUCGUUGCAAACAUUGAGAUGGGCCAUUCGCCUGGCAUGUGCCAGCUGCUCUUUUUUUACAUGGUCUUGUUUUGUGUGUUUUCAGAAAAUCAAAUCCGAUUUCGUUAUCAUGGAGCUGAAGGAUGAGGAUCUUGCAGCUCUCCAAACACACACAUUGGCCGAUGUGAUAGCGGUGUCGUACCCCAACAUUUAUCUCAACUUCUUGGUGGCCAACUGGAGUGUGAGCGCGACGUCAUUGCAACCAUCCUCCCGCAGAUUUGGUCGCAAGAUAUGCUAAGGAUACACAAUGUACACAAACAUGUCCUUUAUGUCCUUGCAUCCGGAAGGAUUGAAAUCCAUCAAGGACCUCAAGGACUGCAGGAUACGUCUGUUUUACCUGAAAUUAGGCCAUAAUUUUUAAAAUAAAAGGACCCCCUGAAAGAAAAUGCAUAAGUUCCAUCAGCAUUAUCCGAGCAUUGUGAAAGUAGCUACACUUUUUAUUGAUAUACAAAAUCUACAUAUUUUUUUAAUGUUGUGUAUGUUUUGUGUUAUAAUCUUAACCUGUGCUCUAAUCCGACUUGGCAUUAUUCUGAGUGGAAAUCGGUAACUUCGAUGUGGAACUAGUUAUCCAGAUCAAAGGUACACCCAAGUUUGCAUGAAUCAACGACCCAUCAACGUUUCUGCGGGAAGAGGGUUGUGGUGACGGGGCAUUCACGCUCCAACUGGAACACAUAGGUUUCCCAAUGUUGGGAUAUCGAUUGGCGAACCGGGCUCAUCAGCCAUCCGUGAAUCUUAGAGCUGCGAGAGACGCGUUCGUUUUCGAUUUUCUGGAAAACAACAAACGGGAAUACAUACAUAUGUAAAAAGAAAGCUACUACCAGAAUCAAUACACAACUUACCUUCUCAGUGCACCGCUUGAUCCUAUAUGCAUACGAAUCCUUGCUCAUGGCCAAGGUAACCAUCCGAUCCUGUCCCAAUGGAAAGCAUUUGAGAGCAUUUCAGCUGUCAACAUCCACAUGUGCUUCCUAUCGCUCAAUCAACCUGCGAACUGCCAAUACUUGCAGCUAAACUGCAGAUGUACUGCAGUUCUUCGGUGACAGGGUACAGUACAGAUUUAAGGUCUUGGACAUGUCCUAAUUCCGUUGUGCGCUUAUUAGCGAUGCAAUUUGGGAUUUGUCGCUGCUUUUGUUGUUUUGGUAACCAGGGC
rnacentral:lncRNA from 1 species